rnacentral:rRNA from 1 species
UACGUAGGGGGCAAGCGUUGUCCGGAAUCAUUGGGCGUAAAGCGCGCGUAGGCGGCCCGGUCAGUCCGCUGUGAAAGUCAGGGGCUCAACCCUUGAAAGCCGGUGGAUACUGCCGGGCUGGAGUCCGGAAGAGGCGAGUGGAAUUCCUGGUGUAGCGGUGGAAUGCGCAGAUAUCAGGAGGAACACCAAUAGCGAAGGCAGCUCGCUGGGACGGUACUGACGCUAAGGCGCGAAAGCGUGGGGAGCGAACAGG